rnacentral:lncRNA from 1 species
ACCGCACGUGUGCAGGAUGGAGUCCCUCGGGAAUCCGGUCGACGAUGUUUGCCACUGUUGGAGCCAAUGCAAAAAUUGCGCUGAAGUGAAAGGAGUCUUUUCUGUGUCGAUGAAGAGAGCAGUAAAACUGGUCAUUUGCUUCGUUUUCGGUAUCGGCCUGUUACUAUUGAUCUUCAGUUCCAAUCCGAAAAGUAGAGAUACUUGGACGCAGACAACCGACCGAAGUCUCAUCGGCCGCUACCAAAUACACAGACCUCUGGUCGCAGCUAAAAUUGCGGAAGAUUUUAAACGGUCCUUGAAACAACGACCCAUUAUAGACGGUCGAAAUUUUCACCAAAAUAACGAAACCAUAUAUUUUUACGCUAAAGAAGCACCGGUCGAAUCUUACAGGGGAGAUUCUGAUUCGUUGAUCAUCGGAAGCACCUGAGGGUGGUAAUCGAAAUGAAUUUUUACAAGCGAAUCACGUAUUACGGAUGAUAUCUGACGUCUGUCUCUUUCAUCUUGAGAAGAAGCAACUUCGAUAAAAUGGUCACACGUCAAUUUCAAUCAACCCAUGCAAAUUCAACUGGUUUAUACACUAUACUGCAGAUGAGAUUUCCGACUGUUCAACAAAGAUGUACAUUCCACCAGGGCAAGCAUUUCGUGAGUUUCACGCAACCGAAAUGGGGACAGGAGGAAACAAAAUUCGAGAUGGAUGAUCAAAGCCGCCAUCGAAGACCCAAAGUUGAGGAGGAGGUCGAUAACUAUACCUUAUUAGGACCGGAAAGCAGCACGACGAAAUAUCACCAAGUAAACCUGGAAAUUUUUUCUUUUGCGUUUUUAGAAU